ACUAUGAAAAAAAAUGCGAUUUAUAGUCCGAAAAGUACGGUAGUUUCAAAUUUAAGUGUUUGGAGUCCAAGACGAGCCAGAAUGACAGCAAUUUGUCCAUUUCUUGUUAAAAGCCGUGACAUAUAAAAAAAAUGUUACCCAAAGAAUAUUAGGACCAUUUGGAGUUGAUUGAUCAACAAGUCUAGAACUUUCCCAGUGGAGCACCCGAGCUGGUCUACCAUUGAUUCUCCAAAAUCGGGAAUUCCCAAAUAUUUCGUUUCCUUGGUGCCUCAACGACUCGUGAGUCACGCUUGAUUCCGCGCUCGGGCGUCACCCAGACUGCACGAUAAACAAAUGGGCUUCUCGCUCUUCCUACCUUCUCUUUAGAUGUGCAACAGGGGGGCUCGCAAACGAGGAGGAACCAGCCCUUGAUGCCAGGCCGCGCAACCUUUUGAAGGUCACAAAAAUAUUGGGGCGUUUCGAAAUGCAGACGACUGCUCUUAUUUUAAAUUACCGGAAUAUCUUGACUCGACGUUUAAAAUGGAUUAUCUGGGAAAGCUCAGCAUUAGCGGUUGUUUCCGAACAGGAUAUUGCUUUGUAUAUUUCAGCGGCUAAUUUAUAUCCAUCAUUUUGAGGGAGAUGAGCUCGUAUCAGGGCACGCUCCUUUGAACCUCUCUCCAAGUAGAUUAAGAAAAAAAAAGAAACAUCUCGUGCAUAUGUUUAUGAUUAAAAGCAAACCGACGUGAGGCCAAGCCAGACAAAAAAUUAAGAAAAACAGCUGCUCGACUCUGCUGAGACGUAAACAACUUUACGCUGAUGCAAUUAUGCUAAUUCUAAGACUGUACGUUUAUUUUGAUAAUAAAUCUUGGGCUGCGCUCGAGUAGCUUUGCAUGACUCACUGCUAAAAAUUGAUUUCAAAAGUGAUUGUACUCGACGUUAUUUCCACCUUAAUAAAUAAAGGUCACAUCCUUUGUCUUGGACCAUUUCCCAAAAGAAUGCAGUGGGAUUUUAUACUAAAAUACUAUAAUUAGUAAAUGACUACCUACAUUUAAUCUUAAUUAAAGCAAAAUAGUAAAAUAUAAUAAUAAUCAUAAUAAUUAAAAGGUAAAAAAAAAAGUUUUAUUCUCUGACUUAACAUUUGUACUUGCUGAGCCUGACACCGUCUGGCAGCGAGAUCUACGACAUAUUUGACCAACUUUGACUGUAAAUAGUCUUCCAUGACAAACAUUUGCGUUUUCCAAUACACCGGUGAAUGAAUGUGGUCAAAAAAAAUAUUCGCUAAUCGCACCUGUGGGAUUGAACAACACAUUUAAUGUGCAACGGCUCAGCAGCGUAUAUGUCUAAACUUGGGCUACAUUGUUAAUGCUGCAGAGGAUUGUUGAUUGGUUUUGACAGUAAUAGCGUUUUAAUCGAAGCCAGAUGUGGCCACCACACGUAUGUAUUUUGUACGUACAUACCAACGACACUUUUGCUAGCAGUGUAAAAUAAAGCACCAUAUAUUUAUUUUUUAUGCUAGCUGAAAACGCUGAAAUGCUACACCCGGGAUACAAGGUAGACAGAAUUAAUUUAAAGUGCUCCAAAAAUGGCCCAAAAAGUGUAUUUGAAUCUGCUUCUUAUAAAAGCUUAAACAUUCAAGACUCAAAUUGAGCAUCAAGUCAAAAGUUGCUAACGUGACAAUUGUAACCUUCAAAGUCUAAAACUGUGGUUUCUGCAUGACGUUAAAGUUUCGAUGCUUAACAUUGGCAGACUUUUUUACAGUUUGCCCAAAGGCUCUUGAAAAUGUCAAUUUUUGUCACACAUUCUUUUAUUUUAACAUUAUACUCUCACCCAAAAACAACAAAUAUAAUCAUCUAUGUUAAUAGAGUAUUGCUGGAAUAGAAAUUAACCCUAAUCACUAUUAUCUAACCAAAAUCCCUAGCUAAUCAAUACAUCGGAAAAACAAUCUUGUCAUUUUUUUGCACAUUACUGGAUCUCAAUCCAAUCAUUUAGGCGUAACUUGACCAAACGUCCACGGCAGAAGAUUGUUUUCUAUGUAGACUGACACUUUGUACAAAUUCAACCUUCUGGAAAUGUCUUCUCCGAGUGAGUUUCUUUCAGAAAGUGUUUCCUGGAAUUCGAUAAUGAUCAUCACUAUUGAUUCCAAGUUUGUCUCUAAAUUCGCAGAAUUUUGUACCAGGCUGAUAGAUGACAUCUGGAGCGAUUGGUUUGCCAUUUCAAAAAAUGUCUGCUCUUGAAAGUCGCUUUCAUCUGACUUCAAAAUCUGCCCAUCCUAAGAAAAGUAGUUCUUUGUUGCACAGGGCAGUGACGACACUGCCACUGCGACGUCUUCGCUAUUAUCUCUCCUGAUAGAGUUGUCGUAGCGUGAAUGACCGCACGACACAAUGGCUUCGUUGUGCCCUCGCCGCACUUGUGAUGUUGUCCACCUCUUUGUAUAUUUUCUUCAAAUAAAAAGCAAUCUCCUGGUAGAGCUUUUAAUCCUGCCACAUUUGUGGUCACUCAUCUCAUCCUGACAUUAUAACAAGGAAAACCCCCAAACAUUUCCUGCCUGCUUUUGAUUUUGAAGAGAUGUCUUUGGGAACGUACUUGGCCUGUCCUUGUCUUUGCAACCGAUUGCGACCUUCAAUGGGGACAGAAAAAGAAAAUCGGAAUUCGCUACCUUCCCAAGUUCAGUGGGGUACCGACGUAAAGUUUCAGCUCAUAAGUUGAAGCAAAAAAAUCAUUUUUCGAGGACCCGGUCAAUUAUCUCAGCCGUCAUCGGCUUUGAGUCGUCAGAGGAGAACAAGUUUACCUUUGGUCAUCUUUGAACAUUGACUCCAACGAAGAGCUGACGUUGUUUCUAAGAAAAAUAAUUGACUGUGAAAGAUUUGUUUCUAAAUCCUUGAGGUCAUCUUUUCCCCUGGCUUAUUCUUAUUCAAAGAAUUAGCUGUGACUUUCUUUCACUUCCUUUUCAUCUUUUUCAAAGAGCCUCCUGCCGUGUUAACAACCAGCUUCUCUGAUCUUCUUGGAUGAGACUUUGUAGCCACCUCCAAACAAAUCAGUUGCCAUGCAGUCGAGGCAUUGAGAGUCCAGACGAUAUAAAUAAGUUUCCAAAUGUAGGUUGUGCCCCAUUGUAAAAGUAAAUAAUCAAGGAAAGUGCAGAUAUCUGUCAAAUCCAGAGGAGCAUUUGUAAAGCGCAGGUGAGCUGAGGGACAAACUGCAAAUUGUUGCUUUCAGCCAUCGAGAGAAGUUCAUUUCCUUGAAUUAUUGGCCCCUCUUGAAUGACCGCUUCCUCUCCAGACAUUCACUUCUCUUUUUCAUAAUAAUCGCGCUGGAAUUCCUCUCAGGAGUGCGCCUCCAUCGUGACCUGCGGCGACAUCGGCAAUAUCCUCCCCUUAACCUCCGGAGGCCCCUCCAGAGGCAAAAAUUCAUCAGAGUAUAGCCGAGAGCAAAAUGUCAGGGUAGGUUUUUAUUGAUGGCCGCCACCCGUCGCGGUCCUCCUCGGCCUGUGUUUUCACCAGUGUCCACGUGUCUAUUUGAUUGCAUGCUCUUUGUCCCUAGCAAAGAAAAUCACAAAGACAAAGCUCAUUCCUGGGGCGCGUGUUUUCAAUUUCUCCACCAAAGCAAGUGAUUUGUAUGGACCAGCGGCGAUAAGUCACUGUCGGCAAAUCAGAGUGGCUUUUCAUGGCCAUGCGCUUUCAUGUGACCUUAACCGUUAAAAGACGGUAUGCUUUCAUAUUUAGCAUGAUCUUGCCUUGGAGGCACCUGCUCAAUUAGCUGAUGUCACUACCUACGUAUUUCUCUUUGACCAUGUGCUCAAACUUCUUUUUGGGCUUCAGUCAUCUGAUGUGAUUGUUCAUGAGAUUUAGGGCUGUGUGAUUCAAGAAAGACAAAUCCACAGAGAACCAUCGAUCAAUGAUUGUUGAUCAUCAGAAGAGCCCUAAAUAGGUGGCGGUGAAGCGCAUAGGUUGACAGAAGCAUUCCCACACAAUUUGGAAUGGGCUUUUCAUUUGUAGUUCUAUUGGAAAUUUACCAGAUGUGAUCAGAUCAUGUCUCGGUGAAGCAGCAUGUGGCUCUUUGCCCAAGGUUGUUUUCAUUCUCUCUUCUCCAAGUAGCUGUCAACCACAUGUUGUGUAUGAGUAAGAGGUGGUCGGUUUUUGUGUAAGUACGACAGCAGCUGCCUCACUCAACGGGAGACUUUUGUGUCUGCUCUGUACAACCUCGCGGAAUCCCGCCGGACGAGAAUGACAAAGACGAUUCUUGCUGUUUCUCAGUUUUAUUGUAGAAAAUGUUCACAUAAUUUAACAUCAUACAAGUUGAAGAUGCUAAAUAUACAAACUAAUCAUUCUCCAUUAGGGUUUUAGCACAACGUGACCAAUAUUGUUAGUGCUAAUAGUGAUGUUAUCGUGCUAACGUAAUGAGAUGCCAUUCUGUCAAUUCGAGGCACGACAUUUAGAGGCUGUUUUUACAUAUUGUGCUUUAAAUGCCACAACUUGCUGCCUGAUUUAAAAUAAUCUUCAACCAAUGUUCAUAUGUUAGCGCUCACGCUAAUGGUCAGCCACUGUUAUUGUACAACAACGGAAAUAAGCUAAUGCUAUCACCGCAAGAGAGGUGUCCUAAUUGGUCCAUAUUAACGCAAUAGCUAAUGUAGCAUCUGUUUAAUUUUAUUGCUCUUAUUGCAAAGUAGUACAUAUUAGCGUGGAAAUUUCUGUCUAAAUUUUUGGAGAACUCUGAUUUUCUUUUCUGGAGCAAAAACAUCUCGAUGGAAAAUAUUUGAAAAGCACUGAAAAGGAUUCAGUUUGACCUGGCAAAACUAAUAAAACACUGGAUAAUAUUUCUUUGCAGGAUUAACGUCUGGCACUAAUGACGCUGUUUGAGUGCUGCGGGGUAUUGUUUUGCGAGGGAGAACAAGCCAGCGUCAAUAGAAAAUCGAGAAAAAAAAAAAAAGGCACCCAAUAGCCGAGCGCCGAACCUUUCCGAUGGAUCAGACAAUUUGGAGCCGUUUGCGAACUCCCAUCGCUCUCGCAGCCUGGAUACAGACAAAUACACAUCGGAGCGCCAAAACAAUGCCUUAAUGGACCAUCAAUCAGAUGCGUCAAAUCGGCCAUCUUUGAUCCGAAGUUUCACACAUGUUCAGCUGCACGGCCUCUGAAGACAAAUCACAGGCUGUCUCUUUGUGAUCUAUUAUCAGAUGGACUCGUCGUAUCGUAGUGUGUUUUUUUUAACGGCGUGAUUUAUAGGACAAAAGGCUGCCGUCGCCGUAAAAGUCUCACGUUUAGCAACAAAGACGAAACCAUCAAACACUUCAUGCAGGUGCACUUAUAUAUAUAUAUCAACAAAACAUCUUGGGUUUUUUUCAUACAGACUUGUAAUAGUUGCUAAAAUGUCUUUUGUUGCCAAAUGUUGAGUUUUUUUUUGUGUGUAUGUCUCUCAAAGUCGUCAAAGGGAGUCGUGGCGGGGCACAUUUUGUCAGGCCCAGAAUCGAACCUUGAGAAGCAGCCUAAAUGUCUGUGGUCAGCGGCACAAUAGAGAUGAUCCUGUCCUUAGGCGAGGAUGAGACAGCAACAAAAGUGACAAAACAUUUCCGCUGCUUUGAGGCGACGUGAAACCAAAUCCUUCUACCUGAAGCAAUGCAAGGUGUUGUCUGGGCAGCAUUUUUUUUUUUUUUUUUUUUAGGUUGGGUUACUUUUUAAAAAAAUCUUUAUUUCCUGCACCCUGCAUUUGUGGCAGACAAUUUUUGCUCCAAUGACAAUUGGAGAGGUCACAUGACCAAACAGAGCUAAACACUAGAUUAUCAGAGUGAUCUCCUAAGUGACUUUAUGUCAAUGUUUGUUUUUCAAGGUAGCUCCUCUGUGGUGACCAUUGGAUUUGAUCAUAUGCACCAGUCAGUCUGGAUUCCUUGUUGCAGCAUGCUGCCUCUGACUGGCAAGUCUCGGUACUACAACAGCCACGACGUCUGGUUUGCCGACUUGCUCAUCUGGAGUACACUGCGCAACAUGAACGGUUGUGCAGCUUUAUUUAUACGUACUCGGAAACUGGACGGGAGAUCAAGGAAACCAGCAGACCAUUUGCACAUCCAGCCACAGCGAUUGGAAUCUGCGUUCAAUCAGCUUAUUUAUCCUCCCAUUUGCGAGCUUGACCGUGUGGGUGUGUGAUUGUGUCACCGUUCCAGUUUGACGCAUUGUUUCCAACAAAGUCCCUGACUACUCGCUGCAAAUUGGGGAUCAAAGGCCGGCGCAACAUCCAAGACAAAUAGCAGCGUAGGCGGGAGGGCGGGACGGAACCGCAUCACUCUUCGGUCCAUCACAGAAGGGAAAAGAAAUGGGGUGUUGAAGGAGAAGCAUCGAUCUGCUUCGUCAUUUGAUGACAUCAUGGCGUGAAAACAGACCAUGGCAACAGCACGUAGAGUCGUAACGUACGGCCGUAAAAAUAAAAGCAUAUGACGGCCAAAGUGGACAAGCGAGGCUGCCAGAAGCGCAGCGAGCAGACAUCUGUGCACACGGAAGACCAGCACGGAAAAGACCUGAAGGCUGCGGGAGGUCAGCUGACUCAACGCUGAGGCAUUCUUUGCCGCUUCUUCUGCCAGCUGCACUAAACGACCGCUUAGUCGGUCGGUUUCGUCGGACAAUAAUGGCUCUUUUGAAAUCGGUUGAUUUAUUUUUUAUUUUUAUACAUAUUACACCAUAAGACAAAAAACGGCGUUCAAAAACCCCUUUAAUGAUUUCACAACCAUUUCUUUUCAUUGUGUGUUAAUGAAAACAAUAAAAUCUAAAAAAAGAUUCAUGUUCAUGGCAACCAAAAAAAAGACAAAUAUCAUGCCUUUGACUUUCUCAUGCCCCCCCCCCCCCAAUCCAUCCAUCCUGAGGUCAAGGCAGCUGCGUUUUCAACUGCAAUCUUCACUUUUUCAUUCUUCGCCUGUGUUUCACAUUUAGACCCAGGGGCCUCCGCUUGUAUUUGCCGCAGAUGUCGGCUUGGCAACUUCUAACUUGCUUCUCGUGCCUUUCGGGGGCUUUUCGACGCCAAAUGGUCAGUUGAGUUGAAUUAAGGAUAUAUGAUAUUAAGUUGACACUUUGUAAUGGGCUCUUUCCGAACAGCAUGGAAGUGUUUCAUUGCGCCGGAGUUGAUGGAUCAAAUUCCCCCGUGUUCUUCGUACCUGGACCAAGUUCAUCCAUCAUGGGAACAGUCGAAUUAUUUUGCGUUUGUAUGACCAGCACAGAUCCGGCAAAGAUUAAAAAUCUCAUUUUCUCUGCUCCUUAGUCAGAAACUGAUGUUUUUGCUGAAAUCAACCCACCUCAUACUGUUCGUUACCAACCCACCAACCAAGCUAGAACAAGCGGUUAGUUUUAUCUGAUUUAAUUCAGACUUAAUUUAUGCUCUUAAAACACAAACUUUGUCAUCUGUCAUGGUGUUUUUAAGUGCUCCCCUCCCUUCUUAUGUAAUGGACUCAUCUACCUUUCAUCACAAACAUGUGUUAAAACGGUCAAUUCUUGUUUUCGUCACUUGUUAAUAAUACUCCGGAGGGGUUUAAGGGACUUUACCUGAAAUAGGGAACUUAUCUCAAAUUUUUGAGGGCCCCACAACUGGGUUUGCCCUAUUCCCCGGGGGUUCAGAUCUGGAGGACCCGGUUCAGUUCACGAGAAGAGAGCACACGCAGUCAGUCGAUGGUUGUAAUAAAAACCAAAUCUGGGCUCGGCUUGCGGCCAUCUGUCACACUGACAGCUACUGUCUCAGCCGUGGCCUCCUGCAGGUGCUGCUGCUGAGGUCCACCAUCAGACAGACCCCCAUUUUUCUCUAGAAUCUAGAGCAGUGCUUCUCAAUUAUUUUCUGUUACGCCCCCCCCUAGCAAGAAGAAAACUAUUCGCGCCCCCCCUCCCCACCGUGACUAUCCUAACUUGUCUUGUAAGUCGUAAAAUGUUGCACUGUCGCAAACGUGACAGAAGUAACAAUGAGAGCGCCACUGCCCCCUGCUGUAGUAAACGCGCAAUUACACUUUAUUCUCGUACUGCCAAAAAAAAAGCCUGUUCCCCAGGGUCACACGCGCCCCCACAGGAGAUGGCGACAGCGUGGCAUCUGAAGACCAUGGAUUGUUUGUUCUGCUAUAGCCUAGGUGACUGAUUCACAAUUUGGUUUUGUCUGAUAAUAGAUAUUAAAUAAAGAAAACCAACUGGCUAAUUGAUUUGUUUUAAUUGAGAGAAAAAAAAACAUCAGCAAAAGCAUUUCACUAACUGACCAGGA